AGUCAUUAACUUGAUGUGAACAAAAAAUACCAACUAAAGAAAACGAAUCGUUGCUUCGACAGCUGCUGCUCUGUUUGGCUAACAAACUUUUGGGGGGACGAUGAUUUAACUUCGAAUACCUUCAAAUUUCUAACUUUUCAAAUAUUCCAGUUGUUGCAAUGGAAAUGGAAGGUCAUUCAUUCUCCAAGCAAUUUCUGAGUUUGGGCAAAAAAGAAGGCCAUGAACAGUGGACUUAUCACUCGCCAUACACCGAGGGCAUAAGGGAGACACCGAAUGGAUCUUGGUUCCAAAUCGAAGACCAAAUCUUUUUUACUCUGCACUGCUCUGGUAGGAAUUUAGUUGGGACAUGGUAAAAUUGGAAUGCCAGCAAAUACCCUGAAGCAACGGAAUAGUUUUCAUUCCUCUCCCUAGGCCAGGCGUGAGGAAGCAUUGUCUAUAUUCAAGAGGAGACUCUUAGGUGCCUUGCUGGAGUUUUCUGCUCAAGAAUUGCAAGUUCAGGUACAUUGGUUUUUGUUAAUGAUCUUCUUUUCAAACAUUUUAUUUAUGGCAUAUAGGCACAAUUGUAUCCUUUUGUCUUUUUUCUGAUUUUAUUUUUCUCAUCAAUCAUUUUGGUUUCGAAUG